rnacentral:tRNA from 10 species
CGGGGUGUGGCGCAGCUUGGUAGCGCGCGUCGUUCGGGACGACGAGGUCGCAGGUUCAAUUCCUGUCACCCCGACCA